rnacentral:rRNA from 1 species
GAUGAACGCUGGCGGCGUGCCUAAUACAUGCAAGUCGAGCGGUAAGGCCCUUCGGGGUACACGAGCGGCGGACGGCUGAGUAACACGUAGGAACCUACCCCAAACUGAGGGAUAAGCACCAGAAAUGGUGUCUAAUACCGCAUGUGCUCUACGGAGUGAAGCUUCGGCGGUUUGGGAAGGGCCUGCGUCCGAUUAGCUAGUUGGUGGUAUAAAAGACUACCAAGGCGACGAUCGGUAGCUGGUCUGAGAGGAUGAUCAGCCAGACUGGGACUGAGACACGGCCCAGACUCCUACGGGAGGCAGCAGUAGGGAAUUUUCCACAAUGGGCGAAAGCCUGAUGGGGCAACGCCGCGUGCAGGAUGAAUGCCUUCGGGUUGUAAACUGCUUUUAUCUGUGACGAAUAUGACGGUAGCAGAUGAAUAAGGACCUGCUAACUACGUGCCAGCCGCCGCAGUAA